GCAAGGGAUUUUCCGCAAUGGGCGAAAGCCUGACGGAGCGACGCCGCGUGGAGGAUGACACCCUUCGGGGCGUAAACUCCUUUUGUGGGGGACGAAGCAAGUGACGGUACCCCACGAAGAAGCACCGGCUAACUACGUGCCAGCAGCCGCGGUAAGACGUAGGGUGCAAGCGUUGUCCGGAAUUACUGGGCGUAAAGGGCGCGUAGGCGGUUGCCCGCGUCGCACGUGAAAGCCCCCGGCUCAACCGGGGAGGGUCGUGCGAGACGGGGUAACUGGAGGCAGGGAGAGGCUGGUGGAAUUCCCGGAGUAGUGGUGAAAUGCGUAGAUACCGGGAGGAACACCUGAGGCGAAGGCGGCCAGCUGGCCCUGUCCUGACGCUGAGGCGCGAAGGCUCGGGGAGCGAACGGG
rnacentral:rRNA from 1 species